AGAGUUUGAUCCUGGCUCAGGAUGAACGCUAGCUACAGGCUUAACACAUGCAAGUCGAGGGGCAGCAUGUCGGUUGCUUGCAACCGAUGAUGGCGACCGGCGCACGGGUGAGUAACGCGUAUCCAACCUACCCUUGUCCAUCGGAUAACCCGUCGAAAGGCGGCCUAACACGAUAUGCGGUUCACCGCAGGCAUCUAAGGUGAACGAAAUGUGAAGGAGAAGGAUGGGGAUGCGUCUGAUUAGCUUGUUGGCGGGGUAACGGCCCACCAAGGCGACGAUCAGUAGGGGUUCUGAGAGGAAGGUCCCCCACAUUGGAACUGAGACACGGUCCAAACUCCUACGGGAGGCAGCAGUGAGGAAUAUUGGUCAAUGGACGGGAGUCUGAACCAGCCAAGUAGCGUGCAGGAUGACGGCCCUAUGGGUUGUAAACUGCUUUUAUAAGGGAAUAAAGUGAGCCUCGUGAGGCUUUUUGCAUGUACCUUAUGAAUAAGGACCGGCUAAUUCCGUGCCAGCAGCCGCGGUAAUACGGAAGGUCCGGGCGUUAUCCGGAUUUAUUGGGUUUAAAGGGAGCGUAGGCCGUCUUAUAAGCGUGUUGUGAAAUGUCGGGGCUCAACCUGGGCAUUGCAGCGCGAACUGUGAGACUUGAGUGCGCAGGAAGUAGGCGGAAUUCGUCGUGUAGCGGUGAAAUGCUUAGAUAUGACGAAGAACUCCGAUUGCGAAGGCAGCCUGCUGUAGCGCAACUGACGCUGAAGCUCGAAAGCGUGGGUAUCGAACAGGAUUAGAUACCCUGGUAGUCCACGCGGUAAACGAUGGAUGCUCGCUGUUUGCGUCUGACGUAAGCGGCCAAGCGAAAGCGUUAAGCAUCCCACCUGGGGAGUACGCCGGCAACGGUGAAACUCAAAGGAAUUGACGGGGGCCCG
rnacentral:rRNA from 1 species